rnacentral:rRNA from 1 species
UACAGAGGGGGCAAGCGUUGUUCGGAAUUACUGGGCGUAAAGCGCACGUAGGCGGCUUGGUAUGUCGGGUGUGAAAUCCCCGGGCUCAACCUGGGAACUGCAUCCGAAACUGCCUUGCUCGAGUAUGGGAGAGGGAAGUGGAAUUUCCGGUGUAGCGGUGAAAUGCGUAGAUAUCGGAAGGAACAUCAGUGGCGAAGGCGACUUCCUGGACCAACACUGACGCUGAGGAGCGAAAGCCAGGGGAGCAAACGGG